UGUGUGUGUGUGUGUGUGUGUGUGUGUGUGUGUACUUACAUUUGCUACUUUAAGGGGCCCAGAGGCAGGGAGCCCACCAACGGUGUGGGGCCCAAGAGCUUCGUGGGGCCCAAAAAUCAGGGCCCCACAAAGAUUAGCUAUUUAAACUAGCAUAACAGACCCCCCUGACAUGCCUCCUGCUUUUUUUUCACUUUCCCCACAAGGUGACAAUUUCUGGAAAUGUGUGUGUCAACUGUGUGUGCUCUCUAGCGAUCCCAGAGGCUUGGGGCCGUUACUACAAGUAUACACACUUCAGAAAGUGUGUAUCUUUAGAACCAAUAAGAACGCGUUCUCAACUGAGUGACGAUGAAACCUCCAAUGAUGAUCAGGGUCACAAUUAACAAUAAAUAACACUGAACUUGAUUGGCUGUAUGUAAAAACAGCAACUAAUUUGGGCUGGAUCUCCACUUCCCUAAUAUGGAUAUGGUCUGUUUGGCACCGACAAGCAAGUUCGUCAUGACAGCACAUGAGCCAUAAUGAUAAAAAGGAAGAAAAGGAUCCAUCCUACUGAGGAGGCAAAGUUAUACAUACAGUCUUCUACGGACAAGCCAGGGUUUAUAGAAAGAUUUAUCGAUAGUUGCAAAGGUGUGUUGGAUCGGGGAACAUCUACAACAUGCAGGACAGUAACAGUUGGACAUUUUUAGAAGAGGAGUAUUCGCUGCCCAGCCCAUUGAUCCAGGCACCUUUGUCUUGGAGUACAGAGGUGAGCUAAUAUCUGUGGAGGAAUGCCGGUCCAGAUGUUACUCAGAGAGAGAGAGUACAUUUCUCUUUGAAUUUGAAUGGCAGAAUCGUCGGUGGUGUAUUGAUGCAUCCAAAGAGGAUAAAUCCCUUGGAAGACUGGUUAAUGACAACCACAGAUGUCCAAACUGCACCAUGAAAAAAAUUGUGGUGAAUGGGAGACCACAUUUCUGCCUGUUUUCUGUAGUGAAAAUAGAAGUAGGGACUGAAAUUAAUUACAACUAUGGGGAUUCUAAAUGGCCAUGGCGUAAAAAAAUGACAAAGAUGCAGACCUCUGCAGGGACAGCUGAGACUGUGUUGUCCUCCACAGAGCAGCC